AGACCCGAAACCCGGUGAUCUAGCCAUGGGCAGGUUGAAGGUUGGGUAACACUAACUGGAGGACCGAACCGACUAAUGUUGAAAAAUUAGCGGAUGACCUGUGGCUGGGGGUGAAAGGCCAAUCAAACCGGGAGAUAGCUGGUUCUCCCCGAAAGCUAUUUAGGUAGCGCCUCGUGAAUUCAUCUCCGGGGGUAGAGCACUGUUUCGGCUAGGGGGCCAUCCCGGCUUACCAACCCGAUGCAAACUGCGAAUACCGGAGAAUGUUAUCACGGGAGACACACGGCGGGUGCUAACGUCCGUCGUGAAGAGGGAAACAACCCAGACCGCCAGCUAAGGUCCCAAAGUCAUGGUUAAGUGGGAAACGAUGUGGGAAGGCCCAGACAGCCAGGAUGUUGGCUUAGAAGCAGCCAUCAUUUAAAGAAAGCGUAAUAGCUCACUGGUCGAGUCGGCCUGCGCGGAAGAUGUAACGGGGCUAAACCAUGCACCGAAGCUGCGGCAGCGACACUGUGUGUUGUUGGGUAGGGGAGCGUUCUGUAAGCCUGUGAAGGUGUGUCGUGAGGCAUGCUGGAGGUAUCAGAAGUGCGAAUGCUGACAUAAGUAACGAUAAAGCGGGUGAAAAGCCCGCUCGCCGGAAGACCAAGGGUUCCUGUCCAACGUUAAUCGGGGCAGGGUGAGUCGACCCCUAAGGCGAGGCCGAAAGGCGUAGUCGAUGGGAAACGGGUUAAUAUUCCCGUACUUGGUGUUACUGCGAAGGGGGGACGGAGAAGGCUAUGUUGGCCGGGCGACGGUUGUCCCGGUUUAAGCGUGUAGGUGUGUGUUCCAGGUAAAUCCGGUUCACUUUAACACUGAGGCGUGACGACGAGGCACUACGGUGCUGAAGCAACAAAUGCCCUGCUUCCAGGAAAAGC
rnacentral:rRNA from 2 species